GGAGAAACAGAGAACAACUUAUACAAUUUCUCUGGGCACGGAGACUGAUUCAACAAGAAUGAAUCAUUUGUCUUUCAGUUAGCCUGGAAACAGAUAAUCUUGUGUCUGAAUUCUUUUAUAAUAAAGCGCCUUUGACAGCAGAACUUUUAGGGAUGAGGAAAGGAACUUACGGAACAACUGAAGAAAUCCCAUGAAGCUUGGAAAGGAG
ensembl:lincRNA